UNAAAAAAAAAAAAAAAAAAAAAAAAAAAAAAAGUAAUUUAAGAGCCUUGUUUGUUUGGAAGGGAAUGCGAAAGACCCCUUGUUCUGGAGCUGAAGUGCAGCAGAAAGAAAGAAAGAGCGAUUGAGUCGAAUUGGGUCUGGGUCUGGGUUUGGGUUUGGGUUUAAUAGCUACAGAAAAAAGUCAGCCGUUCCAAACUUUGAAGGUUGGAGCAGACUGGAUUAACCCGACCAAACUGUCCUAAUCACGUCAACCUCCUCCCUCCACUUCAUGCCACCACAUUCAAACCAUAUUUUCGGCACUACAAUUUGCUUACAUUAUGUGGUUUUUUUUUUUUCAUUUCUUAAAUUGGUUGGUUUGUUUUUUAAAAAUUUAGAAUUUUGUUUUUUAACUUUUGAAUUUUGUUUUUAUAAAAUUAACAAAACUCUUACCUUAUUUAGGAAAAUCUUAUCAAAAUAUGGGGUUCAAUUAUAACAUUAGACACAAUUUGGUGAUAUCAUGUGUUAGAACAGCGCAUCCCUGAUGACAUACAUCUUGUGGUUCAAUUUUAUUUGAAUUUGUAUUCGGCUUCUUGACUUGCAUGCAACCUAGUUUAGUGUCCACGGUCCAAUAUGAAUUAUGACAAAUGUUUCAUUUGAGUGUACCAUGCGUUCUUACAAGAAUAAUCUGUAACAGUCCAAAUCCAAUUAAGUAAAUAUUGUUUGCUCUUGUCUGUUACUUAUUGCCGUAAGUCUCAUGAAUUUUUAAACGCGUUUGUUAGAAAGGGUUCUCCGUUCACCUCCUUAGUCGACGUAAGAUGUUGAUUGAAGGGAUAUAUAUAUAUACACUAGUUCAAAUGUAAUUAAAUCUCUUUCAUAUUGAUAGAAUUUGCUAUCAAUCAAAACGUUGAGAAGCACUUAUGAUUUUUGCCUUCACUCACCAAAAAGUUGAGCCUUGUAAAUGAAGCAUCGCUCAAAAAGGCGAGCCACCCUUUGCCCUGUUUAACCUUUGGGGUUCAUAAACAUGGAUACCCAAAACCAUAUAUGAAGUUCAGAAGGGAAAGAGAGAUGAGAUUCCACCAACUAAUCAACACCCACCAGAACUCACUGAUCCAAAGUCAAAAUCAGCAAAGAACUGGACGCUUUCAGGCUGCCAUUCUCAUCACUUCCAAACACAAAGGCUUGUAAGCUGCAAGUUUCUUAAAUUUUGUCCCCCUCUUCUUCCAAUGCUCCAAACAGGACCAUAACAAGUCCUGGAAUCUCUGAUGUCACAGGGACCAAUUGGGUCAUAAGGCUCUGAUUCCCUUGAUCAAUUUUUCAUUAAUUACCUUCUCUUUUCAAUCUGACACAAUUCAACCCCCCCUCAGUAAGCUUGGGUCAACAAAAUCCCUUUCCUUUCUAAUCUAAACCCGCUUAUACACGUUACUAAAACCCUCGCCAAACAACUCACCAUCAUCGCCUUUAAAACGUCUUCAACCCCUCAACUGGGUUCCAACCUCCAUCAAUGUCCAUUUCCACCACUGCUACUCCAAAAUUAGUUCAGAGGGUACCCAAAUCCACUUCAGACAGAUUGCUUCAGAAGUUCUGCGAUGCUACCGAAUUUGGAUUUGAUUACGACACAAGUGGUCUCUGGUCUCCCCCUCUUCAACGCACUGUUUAUUUGAGCUCUUCCGGCAGAGUUUUCAAUCCAACAGAUUUGCAAAGAAAGCUUGAGAAUGUGUUGAGUUCUGGUCGUAGAAGAGAAACAAGUUGUUUCAAAUUCAGAGUGUUUUGGUGAUCCAUGAAUGAGGCAAAUCUCAAAGCUGCCAUCUUUAGUACCUCGCUUCCAUUUUUCCUUAUAAUGCAAGAUCUGCCUCAAAUUUGGAGCCACUCAGAGGUGGGCUACAGCUAUGUCUUAUGGUAUUGUGUCAUGUGCAGAAGGCUUUGCUUUAUAAAACUAAGCACAGUAUUUGGAGUAUUGAAAAAUAUGGAUAGCAGAGGUCCGGUGAAGUGGGUCCUGUAAUGGCUACCUUUGCAUGCAAAAUAACAAACCCAAUAAAACAUCUUGCCACCCAAAUGCAUCUCUACACAACACAAUUCUCAAUGUCUCACAGCUCCCUUCCUCCAUUUAUGAAGACUCUCUCAUUUUCCAAUAUUGUCUUUUUUAGGCUUUUCUUUCAAAUAUUUAAAACGCUUAUGUUUGGGAGAGAUUCUAUGCUCUUAUAAAAAAUGUUUCAUUUUCCUCUUCAA